AAAUCUGGUUGAUCCUGCCAGAGGCGACCGCUAUUGGAGUUCGAUUAAGCCAUGCGAGUAGAAAGAAAUUAGAUUCUUUGCAUACUGCUCAGUAACACGUGGAUAACCUGCCCUACACUGGGGGAUAAUCUCGGGAAACUGAGCAUAAUACCCCAUAGACCACUACGCCUGGAACGGUGAGUGGUUCAAAGCUUCGGCGGUGUAGGAUGGGUCUGCGGCGUAUCAGGUCGUAGGGGGUGUAAUGGACCUCCUAGCCAUCGACGCGUACGGGUUGUGGGAGCAAUAGCCCGGAGACGGAUUCUGAGACACGAAUCCGGACCCUACGGGGUGCAGCAGGCGCGAAAACUUCACACUGCAGGAAACUGUGAUGAGGGAACUCCAAGUGACUGCACAAUGUGUAGCCUUUUCUUGAAUUUUAAUAGUUCUUGGAAUAAGGGCUGGGAAAGACCGGUGCCAGCCGCCGCGGUAAUACCGGCAGCUCAAGUGGUCGUCGCUU
rnacentral:rRNA from 2 species